rnacentral:snRNA from 1 species
UAUUUCUUUAUCAAUUUGUAUCA